UACGAAGGGGGCUAGCGUUGCUCGGAAUCACUGGGCGUAAAGGGUGCGUAGGCGGGUCUUUAAGUCAGGGGUGAAAUCCUGGAGCUCAACUCCAGAACUGCCUUUGAUACUGAACGAUCUUGAGUUCGGGAGAGGUGAGUGGAACUGCGAGUGUAGAGGUGAAAUUCGUAGAUAUUCGCAAGAACACCAGUGGCGAAGGCGGCUCACUGGCCCGGUACUGACGCUGAGGUGCGAAAGCGUGGGGAGCAAACA
rnacentral:rRNA from 1 species